rnacentral:rRNA from 1 species
UACGGAGGGGGCUAGCGUUGUUCGGAAUUACUGGGCGUAAAGCGCACGUAGGCGGCUUUGUAAGUUAGAGGUGAAAGCCCGGAGCUCAACUCCGGAAUUGCCUUUAAGACUGCAUCGCUAGAAUUGUGGAGAGGUGAGUGGAAUUCCGAGUGUAGCGGUGAAAUGCGUAGAUAUUGGGAGGAACACCAGUGGCGAAGGCGGCUCACUGGACCGGUUCUGACGCUGAGGCGCGAAAGCGUGGGGAGCAAACGGG